rnacentral:rRNA from 1 species
ACGCACGCUGGCGGCGUGCCUAAUACAUGCAAGUUGAGCGCUGAAGGUUGGUACUUGUACCAACUGGAUGAGCAGCGAACGGGUGAGUAACGCGUGGGGAAUCUGCCUUUGAGCGGGGGACAACAUUUGGAAACGAAUGCUAAUACCGCAUAAAAACUUUAAACACAAGUUUUAAGUUUGAAAGAUGCAAUUGCAUCACUCAAAGAUGAUCCCGCGUUGUAUUAGCUAGUUGGUGAGGUAAAGGCUCACCAAGGCGAUGAUACAUAGCCGACCUGGGAGGGUGAUCGGCCACAUUGGGACUGAGACACGGCCCAAACUCCUACGGGAGGCAGCAGUAGGGAAUCUUCGGCAAUGGACGAAAGUCUGACCGAGCAACGCCGCGUGAGUGAAGAAGGUUUUCGGAUCGUAAAACUCUGUUGGUAGAGAAGAACGUUGGUGAGAGUGGAAAGCUCAUCAAGUGACGGUAACUACCCAGAAAGGGACGGCUAACUACGUG